UUGAUGAGCGAUUUUGAGGUAGAAAGACGUCGAGAGAAAGGUUUGAGAGAUGAUUGCGAGCGACUUCGUAAGAGGGACGAGAGUGGCGAGUUUGUACGAGAAUGUCGUUGGGUGGAAAGGAUGAGUUCGUGAGGUUGGGGAGAGGGUGAAGGAAGACGAGCGUCUGUUUCUUCGUUCCCAUUUCUUUUUUUUCUUUUUUUUUUCUUUUUUAAUUUAAUUUAAUUUAAUUUGUUUUAACAGAGAUAAACAAAAAAACAUAAAAAUGUUUAUAUGUUAGUAUUUUCUUUUAUUGUUCUUUUUAUUUUUUAUCUUAAUCUUUUUUUAUUUCAUUUUUAUCCCGGUUUAUAUAUUUAACGUAGCAUCACAAUAGCAGAUAAUCAUGAGUGGUCUGUUGGGGAAGGACAGUAUUCUAGUUUUGAGUGGGGUGGGUUCAAUACUCAUAUGUAGUAUUUUUUUGGUUUAGUAUGUUUUUUUUUUCCUUUUAGCGUUUUAUUUUAGUAUUUUAUUUCUUUUAACAUUUUCUUUUGAUGUUAUACUCAUAGUUUCAUUUGUUAAUAAUGCAAAGUUGUUGUCUUUUAAUUUAAUUCAAAACCAUUUUAAAAAAAACUAUAAAAAUCAUAUUUUUCUCGAUUUAAUAUCGAGCCCAUUUUUCCAUACCCUUGUAAGUCGAUUGCUUUUUAAGCAUCGCCAUCAACCUCACAUAGCUUACUCUUGGGCUUCCUUACAAUGAGACAUGUCCCUUGCACUUACACUCAUACAUUGUUUAAUGCUUCAUUAUUUCAUUCUUUGAUUAUUUGAUUCGAUUAUAUACUUGUUUAUAUCUUACUUGUUUGAUUAACUGUGGCCUACUUGUAUGGUGUAUGAGGCAUGUAUUAUUAUUGUUUGUUUGCCAUGAACAAUCCCCAUUCAUAACAAAUGUAUCCCUCUCCCAUUAAAUGUAUAAUAUUUUUUCAUUCUUUAUUCAUCUGUAAAUACAAGAAUUAAAAUGAGCAUUCGAUAACCAUUUCAAAGCAAGAUCAAAACCUCGAUCCAACGUCGAGUAAUCAUUUUUUCAAAAC
rnacentral:lncRNA from 1 species